AAAGGAACCAAGUGAACGAGGCAAAGCCGUAUACUGAGUCCUCACUAUUGACGUACUUCCUCACGAGGACGGUGGCCCUCGUACUGAACAGGGACCGGGUGUGCAACCUGUCAGCCUCUUCAGGGAAGAUGGGACCCGUUCCCACGGCCCCGCAGUCCCCAGGAGGGUCACUCACUGACUAAGGAACAGUCUUACCCGAAGUUGCCUGCGGCUCACAUUUCCUCGCGGCUUUCCAGGGCUCUGCUGACUCAUAAGGGCCAUCAGAAUCUGUAAGAAAAAGAAAGGGAGAUCAAAUUAUUAUGCUGGGAUCAAGAGACACUUGAACAGCGGAUAUGACAAAACUUCAUUUCUCUCUGCACCUCUUCUCUAUUAUUUCUAAGAUACACUGCAUUUGUUGUUGUUGUUAAUUUUUGUUCCCGUGUAGGAAAACUGUCAUAAUCUAGCUGUGCUGUGUAUGGACAAGAUGUUUCAUAUUAGAUUUGAAAGCCUGAAUAAAUGUUUUAAAACACCUUCUUCUUUGCUGAAU
rnacentral:lncRNA from 1 species